rnacentral:rRNA from 1 species
AUUGAACGCUGGCGGCAGGCCUAACACAUGCAAGUCGAGCGGAUGACGGGAGCUUGCUCCUUGAUUCAGCGGCGGACGGGUGAGUAAUACCUAGGAAUCUGCCUGAUAGUGGGGGACAACGUUUCGAAAGGAACGCUAAUACCGCAUACGUCCUACGGGAGAAAGCAGGGGACCUUCGGGCCUUGCGCUAUCAGAUGAGCCUAGGUCGGAUUAGCUAGUUGGUGGGGUAAUGGCUCACCAAGGCGACGAUCCGUAACUGGUCUGAGAGGAUGAUCAGUCACACUGGAACUGAGACACGGGCCAGACUCCUACGGGAGGCAGCAGUGGGGAAUAUUGGACAAUGGGCGAAAGCCUGAUCCAGCCAUGCCGCGUGUGUGAAGAAGGUCUUCGGAUUGUAAAGCACUUUAAGUUGGGAGGAAGGGCAGUAAGCUAAUACCUUGCUGUUUUGACGUUACCGACAGAAUAAGCACCGGCUAACUCUGUGCCAGCAGCCGCAGUAACAC